AGGGUUUCAUGUGUAUCUCUUG
rnacentral:miRNA from 1 species